GAUGGAUCAUAGAUGGCAAAAAUGGAUCUUAAAUGGCAAGAGAGAUGCACAAAAACAGACCCCUCCCAUCCAUGCUUGAUGGAAGAAGAAAGGAAUAAAGGGAAGAUACAAGGAUGAAAAGGGAAGAAGAGAAAAAAAGAAGAAAAGAAAAAAGAAGAAACAAUCAAACAAGCAAAAAAUGUGAUUGCCAAACAUAAAAUCAAAGUAUUCUCACAGUCCCCUUCAUACGGCUCUGAGUGCAAUUGCAAGUGUCUGAGCUGGUCCCCUUUCC
rnacentral:lncRNA from 1 species